rnacentral:rRNA from 1 species
UACGGGGGGGGCAAGCGUUGUUCGGAAUUACUGGGCGUAAAGGGCUCGUAGGCGGCCAACUAAGUCAGACGUGAAAUCCCUCGGCUUAACCGGGGAACUGCGUCUGAUACUGGAUGGCUUGAGGACAUCAGAGGAGAGCGGAAUCCCCGGUGUAGUGGUGAAAUGCGUAGAUAUCGGGGGGAACACCAGUGGCGAAGGCGGCUCUCUGGGGUGCACCUGACGCUGAUGCGCGAAAGCGUGGGGAGCGAUCCGG